UCACAUGGUGUCUCUCUCCCUCUGCCUGUGUUGUAUCGCAGCCUCUCUGUGGUUUGUUUCCAUAGCCGGUCUGCUCCAACUGAAACUGCUGUUUUUAUCAUCUACGUCGGUGAAUUAAGGAUUUAUUUCCACCAAACCAGAGUUGGUGAUUGUUGGAAACACUAACAGAGACGCUUUUAAUGAGUUUUAUUCUGUUUCUGUCCACUUCGAAUGAAGUUCUGAUGAUCUGAAGGUAAAAUGAGUGUUUCUGUCUCUGGAGUCUGGUGGAGAGUGAUAGUGAUAUUACGGCUGUUUGUGGUUGAACUAAAGGUCUAUCUCUGUAGGGAUCCUUUCCACAAUGCUGUCAGACUCAGGUUGUUAUUGUCAGUGUCUGUCAGUGGCAGAAACAACUACUGUUAGUGGACGAACUCUUAACAGGUGCAUUUUCGCACCAGGAUUAGCUAACGUUACAUGGCAGCCCCCCUCAGUGGCUUUUUCUCAUCUAACUGUGAAUAAUAGGGUUAUUUCUACCAAACCAGCAUUGGUGAUUGUUGUUAAGACUAUCUACGACAGAUUUGUUGAGUUUUAGUUUCUUUUUCGUCCAAUUUUGAAGUGUGUUUUCUAAUUAUCUUCUAAAAUAUAAAUACUGGUUUUGUCAAUGGAGUCUGGAGUCUGAUCUGAAAUACUGGGGUUCUAGUGUGGCAUAUCAUGGCAGUGAAUUUAGUAUACACAACUUUAAUAGUUUUUGGAUAACAAUGAAGCUCUGUGGCACAGAGGAAGAAGAUAUAUCAGGCUCCGAUACACAUACACUCGUUAGUAGUGAUGAUCCAUUAAAAAAACCUCUAUUUGAAGCAGAUUUCCACCUCAUUCAACCCUCAAACAACUGGGGCUCUAACAGUUCAACAGCUAAAGUGUAUUUAUUUGUUUCACUCUGUGAAUUCCCCUGUCAGUUCCAUCUAAAUCAUCAAACAAUGCGCUGUUGUGAAGCUUCAUACAGAGACAGUAUUUUAUUGUGUGUGAAGUUUGCUGUAUGUCUUCUUGUAGUCGGACAGUUGUAUGUUUUUAGGUCACAGCAGCAACACAGCGCGUUUUUAUUCCAGAGAUCCUCUGCAGGCUGAACAUCCAUUAACUUCCUGUUUUAAAAUGAUUGUAAGGAGGCAGCAGCCUUGUGUUGACGUUUAUCACUGAGUGGAAGGGCUUUCACGCCCUUGAGCAAGGCACAUGCAGUGUCAGUAUAACUGCAGUUGAGAGUUGUCUUGAAGUUCCGUUGCUCUUCAUUGGAUUUCUUUGUUGUUUUCUGAAAUAAUGAUUACAGGUUUUAUAGAGUUUCAGCUGCAGUUUGAAAACAAUAAAUGAGACACAAGAAGACCUAAAAGCAGCACUUCUCCUUUAAAUGAUGUGUUAAUAGGAAACCGUUAAAGUUUACUGUCUAUUGUUUGAUCUCUGAUGUGUCUAAACAGGAUUUUUAGCUUUUUAUCCGCUGAUUACAGUGGUUACUCUCUGUGGGUAUUUGUUUCUCUGCUGUCUGAAAGUAAACAGGAGUAAACAAACCUAAUAGCACGUUUCAACUGCAGGAACUCAAAAUAUAAUGUGUAUCCAAAGUCACAGAUUCUUAUUUUGUUUCCACCGAUCCAUUGUUCCAAGUUUCCGGUACUUUUCAUUAACUGCUGCAUGUUAAUGGAGCUGGAUAACUAGCAGUGGAGAAUGGUUGUUGGACAAGCCGACACAUCUUCAGGCUUCACCUGUGAUUGUGAAGAAGAGGACAUUCAGAAGGAGCUGUUAUAAACCAAAAGGUGGACCAGAAGUCUUACUCGGUUUGAAACGAUGAAGGAUUGUGCUAUGAAGUGGCUGAAUGAGCUAGAAGCUGUUCUGGGCCACCAGGAUGUCCAGGUUGACUGCCUGUCAUUUUUUUAAAAGCCUUUCUUCGUCAUCUGUGAUGUGAAAUCAUCAGUUAGUGCACCUCGAAGCGUCUCUCCCGCCGGGCAGCAGACUAGAGCCACACAGCCCUCCGCUUCUAUCACAGUUAUAGUUUUGUGGUUUGUGGUCAGUCAUCAUUAUGGAGGAGUCCUCUUCCUCCUGCAGGCGCGACCCCGCGCCUGAACCAAACAGAGUUUUUCCAGCAUGUGAGAACAAAUCUGACCGUCUUCAGUGUGUUGUUGUUUUUCUGUGCUGCCCAUUAUUCUUCUUCCUAUGGCAUUUAACGGCAGACUAGAACACUUGUAGUUAGGGCUGUGUAUUGGCAAGGAUCUGGCGAUAUGAAAACGAUAUGAAAACACAACUGUAUCAGAGAUUUGGGUGAAACUGGAUCAGAUUUUAUGGAGAGAAUAAUGUCUGGUUUUCCCUCUGACGUCCUCCAGCUGCUCUGCCUCAACUGCACUAACUGCUAAUGUAGCUGCCAUUAACAUUAGCAACUGAACGGGGCUCAGCAGCCUCCCAGUGAACACAACCUCAGAGACAGACAGAGGACAUUUUGACGACAGCGGUACCGAGGUGAUUUAUGGGAGUUUCCAGAUGGACUUGUUGCUAAAAGAAACUAACUGUUGCCCUCCAGCAUCAGGUGCAUUCAGUCUGUUCACUGGGAGCUCCCAGUCCGACAGAGUGAGCUUAGGUUUUUCAAAACACCCCUAUGUAAUACGUAUAUGCUGCCCCAUCGGGUCUGGAAGAAUUGCAUCCCUUCUCAUUUUUGCAUCGACUUUGAACCGAACGGUUCUCAAGACAUCCCAGAAAAAGGAUGAAACCUUUUGAAGGUGGCAGGAACCUGAAUUGAAGCAGAAGUGUGAGGUGUGAAGAGAACCACAACUAAUAUAAUAGUCAUCUACAUCUGUCAUCAUCACUACACCUACAUCAAAAGCCUACAAUAAAGGAAGUAUAUUGGA